UCGGGAAUUUUGGGCAAUGGGCGAAAGCCUGACCCAGCAACGCCGCGUGAGGGAUGAAGUAUUUCGGUAUGUAAACCUCGAAAGAAUGGGAAGAAUAAAUGACGGUACCAUUUAUAAGCUCCGGCUAACUACGUGCCAGCAGCCGCGGUAAUACGUAGGGAGCAAGCGUUGUUCGGAUUUACUGGGCGUAAAGGGCGCGUAGGCGGCGCGGUAAGUCACUUGUGAAAUCUCUGAGCUUAACUCAGAACGGCCAAGUGAUACUGCUGAGCUAGAGUGCGGAAGAGGCAACCGGAAUUCUUGGUGUAGCGGUGAAAUGCGUAGAUAUCAAGAGGAACACCUGAGGCGAAGGCGGGUUGCUAGGCCGACACUGACGCUGAUGCGCGAAAGCCAGGGGAGCAAAC
rnacentral:rRNA from 1 species